rnacentral:rRNA from 1 species
AUACGUAGGGGGCGAGCGUUGUCCGGAAUGACUGGGCGUAAAGGGCGUGUAGGCGGCGGUGUAAGUCUGGAGUGAAAGUCCCGCAUUCAAUGUGGGAAUUGCUUUGGAUACUGCAGUGCUAGAGUGCGGUAGAGGUAAGUGGAAUUCCCAGAGUAGCGGUGAAAUGCGUAGAGAUUGGGAGGAACACCAGUGGCGAAGGCGACUUACUGGGCCGUAACUGACGCUGAGGCGCGAAAGCGUGGGGAGCGAACAGGAUUAGAUACCCUGGUAGUCCACGCGGUAAACGAUGAAUGCUAGGUGUUGCGGGUAUCGACCCCUGCAGUGCCGGAGUAAACACAAUAAGCAUUCCGCCUGGGGAGUACGGCCGCAAGGUUGAAACUCAAAUGAAUUGGCGGGG